UACGUAGGGUGCGAGCGUUAAUCGGAAUUACUGGGCGUAAAGCGUGCGCAGGCGGUUUCACAAGCUCGAUGUGAAAGCCCCGGGCUUAACCUGGGAAUGGCAUUGAGGACUGUGGAGCUCGAGUGCGGCAGAGGGAGGUGGAAUUCCACGUGUAGCAGUGAAAUGCGUAGAGAUGUGGAGGAACACCGAUGGCGAGGGCAGCCUCCUGGGCCGACACUGACGCUCAUGCACGAAAGCGUGGGGAGCAAACAGG
rnacentral:rRNA from 1 species